rnacentral:rRNA from 1 species
UACGAAGGGGGCGAGCGUUGUUCGGAAUCACUGGGCGUAAAGGGCGCGUAGGCGGCCCUCUUAGUCGCGUGUGAAAGCCCCGGGCUCAACCUGGGAACGGCGCGCGAAACGGGAGGGCUGGAGUUCGGGAGAGGAGAGUGGAAUUCCCAGUGUAGAGGUGAAAUUCGUAGAUAUCAGGAGGAACACCCGUGGCGAAAGCGGCUCUCUGGGACGGUACUGACGCUGAGACGCGAAAGCGUGGGGAGCAAACAGG